UGACUUAAGCAUAUCACUAAGCGGAGGAAAAGAAACUAACAAGGAUUCCCUUAGUAACGGCGAGUGAACAGGGAAGAGCCCAGCACCGAAGCCUGUGGUCGUUUGAUCACCAGGCAAUGUGGUGUUCAGGUCUUCUCGCGGGAGCGCUGUGUCACCCUGAGUCCAGCAAUGAGUACGGUGUGUGACUUGGCCCAUAGAGGGUGAAAGGCCCAUGAGGGUGAACAACAGAUAUGACAGUGCUCCUCUGAGUCGACCUUGGAGUCGGGUUGUUUGUGAAUGCAGCCCAAAGUGGGUGGUAAACUCCAUCCAAGGCUAAAUACUAACACGAGUCCGAUAGCGAACAAGUACCGUGAGGGAAAGUUGAAAAGUACUUUGAAGAGAGAGUAAACAGUGCGUGAAACCGCUCAGAGGUAAACAGGUGGAGUUGAACUGCAAGCUUUGAGAAUUUAACUGGUGAGCGUUAUAUAUAUGCUUGGGUAUGAGGUUCGCCUUUGGAGUCCGCUUAGCUGCGGGCCCUGCUUCGGUGGGGCGCGAGAAACCACUUGCCAAGUGUUGUGCGCUCCAAGGGUGUCUCGGACCUGCUCGCCAGUGCACUUUCUCAGAGUGAUCACCACGACCGGCAGUCUUUGUCUUUCUUCCGUGGUCGAAUCGGAUGCGUAUCGUCCUUGUGGCUUUAUGCGUUCGAGAUGGCAGGUAGUCUGUGUCUGCUUGCGGACACGGGUGUAAUCAGCUGACUUCGGUUUGAUUGUGCAUUGCGUCGGAGACGGCGGCUUAUGGUGCAUACAUGCGUGCCUGUCUGGUUGACUUGUGUGGUCUUGGUCGGUAUGUUGCUGGUAAAAACUGGCCUACUGAUAGACUGUGCUUGCUUGACUGGCGGUUGCGUGUGGAGCACGUAAAUGGGCCAAU
rnacentral:rRNA from 1 species